UAGGGAAUCUUCCGCAAUGGACGAAAGUCUGACGGAGCAACGCCGCGUGAGUGAAGAAGGAUUUCGGUUCGUAAAACUCUGUUGUUAGGGAAGAAAAAAUGUAUAGUAACUAUAUACAAAAGAGACGGUACCUAACCAGAAAGCCACGGCUAACUACGUGCAAGCAGCCGCGGUAAUACGUAGGUGGCAAGCGUUGUCCGGAAUUAUUGGGCGUAAAGCGCGCGCAGGUGGUUUAGAAAGUCUGAUGUGAAAGCCCACGGCUCAACCGUGGAGGGUCAUUGGAAACUAAUAAACUUGAGUGCAGGAGAGAAAAGUGGAAUUCCUAGUGUAGCGGUGAAAUGCGUAGAGAUUAGGAGGAACACCGGUGGCGAAAGCGGCUUUUUGGCCUGCAACUGACACUGAGGCGCGAAAGCGUGGGGAGCAAACAGG
rnacentral:rRNA from 1 species